AUGCUGCAGUGGACUGAGAAGGGCAAUAGGGUGUGUCCCUGCUUCUAGAAUGUCCCUGCUUGCUUAUGGAUCAUUCCAUAAGCAAGCCCACACUGAGGCAGGGUGGGUACUAAAUUUGUACCUAGCCCAACUUCCCCCCUCCUGUAGGUCCUUCUGACCUUAAGAUUUGGCCUCUGCUUGAACACUCUAGAAAGCACAGCAUUUGGUCUCUAAGACUCCAUCUGACCCCCUAUCAUUUAUACCCCGAUCCUAAUUCCACCUCACAUCUGCCUCAAUAAAUGGAAAUCUGUCCCCAUUCCAAGGGUUCUUCAGGGAAAAGAGACACAAGAGGUCAACUUUGGUCCCCAAUACUACUAUUGUUGGGAAAUCCUUAAGCAAAGGGGACUUGGGGGAAAUUCAUUAAGAAAAAGGGAUUCUCUCUGAACUUAGCCUCCUGGUGCUUUUGUUGGAAAACAGAAAUUCAUUACAGUAUGACCUUGACCGCAGGAUCAGCCAUAACUGUUCUUUCUUUUGACGAGCAUCUAAGUGCCCCAGGUCCAUGAACUGCCUCAAAAGGAAGAAAAAAACAUGGUUAGAGAAUUUGAGUAUCUGUGAAACAGCAGCAGGGACCAAGACAGGGCUUUGCUGGGCUGAGUGAGGCCUGCCUACAUAUCCUACCUCCAGCCCCCAUUGUCAGAGUCACCCAAGGGUGACAGGAUAGGGUUGAAACCCAUAUGGAAAUGCAUCACUCAAUUUAUAUACCUGGUGUGAGCAAGUCCCCUCACCUCCCUGGGUCUUCAUGUCCUCUCCUACAGGUGAGCCUAGUGAAUGGAAGCGGUGUUUCCAGAAGUGAGUUUCCUGCAACAUUAGUCCUUUGAGUUGCUCUGCGAAGCAUCGCCUAAACUGGGGGAUUCACCAGGUUUUCAACCUUCAGGAGACCUUACUCACAUCUUUCAAAACCAACUUCUCCUGUACCCAGCUCCUUCCCACCCUGUUUGGCAUCUACUCAGGCAAUGGUCAGUCAGAAGCAGUCUGGAUUCUAGAAGGCAAAGCAGAAGAAGAACAUAGAAGAGGAAGACUCAGAGAGACGGCAACAAGAAAAUGGACUCAUCCCUAGAGCCAACAGAAGGAAAACACCUUUUCUGACACCUUGACAUCAACCCAGUAAAACCCAUUUUAGACUUCAAAACUCCAGAAUACGGAGAUAAUACAAUUACAUUGUUUUAAGCCACUGUCCCCUGGUAAUCUGUUACAGCAGCUAUUACAGCAGCUAUAGGAAAUGAACAGACCUUUCAUCUGAACAUUGUUCCUGCUCCCCAGAGUGGUCUCUGUCUACGUCAUCGUCAUCGGCUUUUAGAUGAUGUAGCUUUUUGGAGGACACACCUCGUCAUGGUAUUCUUUAGCAGAAUCUGCUCUUAACACAAGCCAACCCAAGCAGAAAGGCUGCUUCUUUGGAGGGUGUAGCUUCUAUCUUGCUGCUUCUCAUUCCUUUUAGCUACUUGGAUUAGCGCUGAAUCGAAGGCAAUGGUUUGCAUUUCGGACCCAUCAUAUUCGGGAAUGAAAGUGUACUCUGAAAUAGCUGGCAAUCUGAUAUUUUUUUUCUUGUGCCUGAUCAGACUUUCUGGUUAGAGCUGCCGUCUUUCCAGAAAGUGCUGCCCUCUUGCAAGGCGUCAGAUGUUAUUUGCCCGGAAAGGGUUGAGAGAGAGGCAACAAUGAGCUUCCGUGGUGACUGGUGGUGGUGGCAGACGGUUUGUGGUCUCUGCCCCUUGCAACACCCAUCAUCCUGUUUGACACAACCCUUUGAUGCAGUGUGAAAGCCACCAUAGCAGGAGCGAGUGCCUCCGUUUGACCCACUUCCCUUGUACCCAAGUACAGCUGUUGGGAUUUGCAGGUUUGACAAGCACGUGUUCAUUAAGUUACAUACGAUUCUCGGUGCGUGGAGAGACACCAUGACAUGACCAUUGCCAGUGAUGAGUUUAUAGAAGGAGAGAAAGCAGAGCAACCUAGCUUCUGGGAGUCUCUCAGUGCCCGCAGGCUUCUAGUCACGUGGGUCAGCGCCCUCAGCUUCCCCUCCGGAGCUGCUGGUGCUGAUGCGGGCCCUGACCUGGGCUCUCCAGAUGGGGGACACAGAGCAAACUUCCUCCUGGUUCCCCAGAGUAAACAAGCUGUUCCUACUUCUGGAACGAGCUGUGGAAGCGUGGGUUACUUUUAGCUUCUCCUUUUUCUGAAUUGUUCCUUUCCUUUUAAAAAUGGAAAUAGCUAAGGCUGGCUCAGGCUGGCUCCUGGUAGAAGAGUGAAGCAUUUCUUCAUUUUCGUUGAGGAUUUCUGUCAUGUUGGCUCUCCGCAAAAUUCAGAAGGAUCACAAAGUCAAACUACUCGAGAAUAGGGAAUUUCAAAUAAAGACCAUUGAAAUAAGCACAAGAGGGGACUGUUUUCCUCU